AAGACUAUACUUUCAGGGAUCAUUUCUAUAGUACUCGCUCUGAGAAAUGUGUUCUUUCUGAGUUUGGUCUCGCUAAUCACGAUGAAGAGAUGGUGAUACUCCUCCUUGAGCGCGAAGCGGGCGAAAUGCUUAGAUUUAAUCCAAGUAUUUCGCUUUUGAUGACCGUUCAUUGUUUCCUCUGGAGACAUUGAGGGGGGAGUAUGAUCCGAGUGAU